CCCAAGAUAAGCCUGAGCACACGCGUGUGAUCGGUGGGGGCUGUAAUGAGCCGUUCCACUCGGCCGCGUUCAGCCUUUAUUGUGGUUUUCGUGCAGUCGGCAGAGCUGUUUGUUCUUUAAAGGACUGAGAUGCCAGCAACGACUACGAAUACGCUGAACCUGAUACAGAUUGUGGGGGUCAAAUAGCAGCUGGAGAUGUGCAGUAAAAGAACAAGAAGAAGUGCAGCCCUCAGGAGAAGCUGAGUGAAGGUCUCCUGUGGGCGGCGCGUCUCCGUCACAACCUCAAAGAUACAAGACGAAACCACAAAUCAUCAUUUCGUGGCCUCGUUUGUCUUCUUCAUCUCCGCGGCGGCGCUGAAGUCAAAGCCGCGGCGCCGCACAGAAAACUCACAUAUUGACUGAACGUGGCGCGCUGGCCCUCGAGAAGGAAGGGGAAGAAGAGCUGGAACACCACCAGCGUGGAGUUACGGAGGCCGCCGCGGUGAACGCGACAUGGAGGACCUCCGCCGUCACAACUAUUAGCUCGGUUCCUCUGACGCCCGGGAACACUGUCGCUUCUGAUCGCUCCUCCAGCGACGACCACGUCCGCUAGAAGAAAAGCCUUCACGCGUUCGGGCUGCAGGGUUCCCGAUGGACCGCUUCUUCUUCUCGCUGGCAUUAACGCCGUCGAACCUUUUUCUGUGUGCGAUCACACGUCGUCUGCGUGGAAACCAGAGGAGGAACAAGAGGACCUGCGAUUACAGGGAGGUUCUUCUGCUGUGAGUGAGACCCGUGAGUUUUAGAAGUGCUAUUCCAUAAUUAGACGUCUGGUGAGAGAGAGAGAGAUUUACUAAUUGCCCGAAACAGGUCGUUUACAAAGUAUCACAUGUUUUCAGUAUGAAUUCCCAAAAAUGACUGAGACUGAGUGGAAGCUAAUUCUCUUAAAUCGCUCGCGUGUCGCCUCUGGUUUGCGUGCUAAUACCUGUAAAAGCUUCUUGACGUCAGUCUCGUCCCGUCCAAGCAGGUAAAGUGAGGAGCGCCAAAGAGGCUUAACUCCCCUCAGUCCAUUCAGCUCCUCUGGACAGAGCGGCCGGGGUGUAAUAACGAGAACAAACGCACCCAACGAGGCAAAAAAAGGGGUGGGACAAAGGGAGCGCGCCGCGUUUCCAUCAGCCAUCGGCGCCCUCAAUCUGACACCAUCAGGCCCGACUGACCCCCCCCCCCCGCCCCCCGACUGACCGUCUGGAACAAAGUGUGAAAAUUCUUUUGGAAGCCCCGACAUCGGAGAGCGAGCAAUCUGCUUCCGACUCCCCUCCGAAUCCCGACCGUGAUUACAAAUAACCAAGUGGAGCUCGUGAGCUACUCGAGCAGCGACUAAGCUCCCAGACGCAGCCGGUAGAAGCCCCCACCCCCGAGUGGUGGAAAGAUCCCUGCGCGAGUAGAAGUUGAGCAGCGGGGGGCCACUUCUCACCGUCUACACGGACACUGUCGCCUUGUUUACCGGAGCCGAUCGAUCUCCUGCGUCUUCUACGUCGGCUCGUCAUUUUCUCUCCUUUGCGUCAGGCCUCUCGAGGGGGGAGGGAGAGCCGAAAAGAGACGGUAGGUGCGAGAUAUGGUCAAAGGCAAAGUGAAAAUUAAUUAGCUCCGAAAAAAGAAUGGCUUGCUGGCACAGAAAAGAAGCUUCGCGUUUAACUGAUCCCAGAGCUCAUUGUCACCAGAGCAGCGCGCGGCCCCCCGGCCCCUCGCCGCGCAAGCUGCACCUUCCUUUGUCUGCACCAUCGCUCCGUGGAGGAAACUGAAAAGAACCUGGCGUGAUUAAGACGCCUGAAUAGACCCCCCCCUCCUCCCUCCUCUCUCUCAUCACCGCCGUCGCUAUCUACACGCCGUCACUCGCCGCCAGUUCACCUGGACGGCACGCGACUGUUUCUUAAAGGUGUUUUUCUGUGGUUGGUUAAGACGUUGUUCACACACGAAUGACUUCCCUGAUGAACGCCCCCCCCCCCUCCAGGUGUCGUCCUAAUCAGCGAGCAUUGUGGGCAAUCUUAUCACGGUGUUUCUCAAUUGUUUGAAGUCAUUGUCACUCCGCUGCUCGGGGGCACAAUGACUGCUCGCACAAACGCCGCGGCGGAACCGCAGCGCCUUUUGUUCACGUUUGUCACCCUGCGUUUUUAAACUUAAAUCACCGGCGAGCAACUCAGACGCCUCAUGAGGUCACGAUGGUUCUAUCGGCGAGCGGAGCUGCGGCAGUAAAAGAGGCGAGCAGUGAUCUGCAGCGAGGAGAUCCGGGCCCUUCGGAGCUCUGGAAGAUGCAGGUGCAGGGCGAAGCGGCGGAGGCUCCUCGGGGGGCCGUGACGAUGACGAGGUGCCGACGGGGGGGAAGAAGAGUUCAUGAAGUCCAAGGCGGUUUGGCAGAAUGACAGAGUCUCCUACAAAGCACCCAAACGGUAGAAAAUACCUCUUCAUCGAACCUGCGAUUCAUUCAUUCAUUCAGACAUUAUUCGCCGUCGGGGUCGGUCAGCUGUCACUAAACCGGGAUUACCGCAUCCGCUCCAACGCAUUCAAAUGUGCGGCUGAGCGGCAGCUCACACGAGGGAGGACGGAGGGACACGCCAGGGUCAGAUUCCAUCUCCCUGAUCCAGAGAGAGGGAGAUUUCUCUCUACCGCUUCACGCCGACUGGUUCCCAACAAACAGGGAGGAGAGAGAAUAGCGUUCGGUCCACUUCCUGUCUCUCGUCCUCUGCACAGGGCAUCGCGGUGACGUCCCAAUAAACAUUAACAUUGUAUGUGUGUAUUAAGAGCUGUCAGUUAUUUAAUCUUUGUUCAAUCAGGCCGUGUAAUUGAGAUUAACAUCUCUUCUCUGCAGAGAGACCUGAGAGAAUAAGAGACAUCCACGAGAACAAUAAACAGGCACUUGAAGCAGUUCGGAGAAAGGAUUGUGAGGACGAACGUGUCUUUAACGAUUGCAACGCCGCCACAUCCCUCUUCUUUAAUAACUUGACUUUGUCUGGAAGUUACAGCGCAACAAAGACGCUGGAAUAGAAACGGACAAAACAGGAAACCAUUUCACCACGUAGUUCGUACUAGAAAAUAAUACAUCCAAAUCAACUAAAUCAGUCAAAAGGAUUAUGUAUUUAUUUUACUUUUAGCAAAGUUCUGCUUUGCUUUAAAAUCACCCUUUAAAACAAGAAGUCAAAUCCAUUAUUUGCAUGUUUUUUCCACCAUCUAUUUGAGAGCCUCGCUGACCUGUCAUUUCGUAUUUGUGCUCUCCAAAAAAGAACCAGCAGAGGCCAACAGUGACCUUUUGACCCUUCGAGAUGAGGUUGUAUUCCUGCGUGUAAAAUGCGUCUCUCUCCCUCGGCGCCGAUGAGCUGAAAAAUAAAUUGACUGGGAGAUUGCGAAGCGUGCAGCUGGUGUCUGUGUUUGUAUUUUAAGGAAUUCAAACGAGAAAAGGCAUUGAAUGGAAGUCAGGUGUAACCUUCACUAUUGUCACGCAGAAAAAGCCACCAAAUGUUUGAAGGCCCGUCAGAUCGCAACACCGUCGCCUUCUGCAAGACGCCGCUUCACCCGUCUCCUUUUUUUUGCAUGAAACAUUUAGCAGCGCGGCGACGACUAACAAUACAUUAGGCGUGUGUUUCUCAGCAUGCGCACAUGCAUAUUUAAAGAGGGGUUUUUUUUAUAUCUGCUCGCGGACAUUUAUGCACGUUGUGUUUCUGCAGAGCCACGCUGCGCUUUGCACGGCGAGGCCUAAAAACAUCGUCUGAUGCGUCGUCUGUUUUACAGAGAGCAUCCGAGGUGACAGCGGAUGGGAAAAGGACCUGAUCAGUAUCUUUAAAAAGGUCUAAACACUAACGGGACAGAUGCGUCUCAGCGCCGCGCUCAUCCCUCAGCUGGAAUCUAAUAACGAACCUAAUGAAGAUCUGCAGGUCGCAGCGUCUUCCUGUGCACCGAUGAAGCUCCAUCCUCCUGUGAAGAGCCCUCUGAGCCCCCCUCCCCCGGGAAAACCCAGUGUGGUUAAACACCAUUUAAAGAUCCUUUAAAUCAAGAAAAACAAAACAAUUAGGAUGUGAAUUGGUAUUGAACGGCGGCUUUGAAGGAGCUCUGAUUCCUGCCGCUGUUUUGUGCGGGUUUGCUGUUUCCCAACAGGAAGCUGUUUUGAUGUGCACGUUUAAUAAUGAACAAAGAGAUCUCUCCCCCGCAGGCGGAUCAUUAUUUCUACCCUACUUUGAAACCCCCGACAUUGUAGUCGUUGUAAUAAAGCCACAGUCUGAUCUUUGACUGUCAUGUACACGUCAUUCUCCGCCGUCUUUCUUUGCAUCCCUUUUCAAAAAAGGAAUCUCAUUAAACAGGAUGUUGUGCAGCAGCCCCCCCGUCCCCCCCCCCGACCCCCCCGGCUGGGGGGAGAUUCCUAAUUGGGCUUUGGGAUCACACACUUGCCCUCGCUCACAUUGAUUUCACCCCUUCCAGCGUCGAGCUUAAGCACCACAUUUUUCAUAGCCUACAUAUUCAAUUAAUGUCGAAGGGAGGUUCCGUUUCCCCUUCAAAGUUCACAGUGGUGGAUAUCGCUCGUGACGGCUCCGUAAUGGAAAGCGUUUAAG
ensembl:lncRNA